rnacentral:lncRNA from 1 species
AAAUCUAGCUAUUGAAAUUAUAAAUUAUGGGAUAUACAAUCAAACAAAAUAUUAGAUAAUUUAUUAUAUUUUCUUUAAAAAUAAGUUUAAUAAGUGAAAGUGGAUGUCCAUCCACAUUAGUUGAGGUCUUAAAUAUGAAUUAUUUGAGGUUUUGAAUAAUAUAAAUAACUAUAAUUUAAUUUUAUCUCAUGCAUAAAAUUUUGGUUAAAUCAAUUCUUGAAAG